rnacentral:rRNA from 1 species
GAGUUUGAUCCUGGCUCAGGAUGAACGCUAGCGGCAGGCUUAAUACAUGCAAGUCGAGGGGCAGCACAAAGAGUAGCAAUACUUUUGGUGGCGACCGGCGCACGGGUGAGUAACACGUAUGCAACCUACCUGUAAGAGGGGAAUAACCCGGAGAAAUUCGGAUUAAUACCGCAUAAUACCUUGAAUCUGCAUGGAUUCAAGGUUAAACAUUUAUGGCUUACAGAUGGGCAUGCGUAUGAUUAGCUAGUUGGUGAGGUAACGGCUCACCAAGGCAACGAUCAUUAGGGGUUCUGAGAGGAAGGUCCCCCACACUGGUACUGAGACAC